CGUUGUCGGAGCUUUAAGGAUUCUGAUGCGAUGCGAUGAUCUUUCAGUUCUCUUCCUGUCAAGGUGCUUCAAAGAUGAACCAGUGCCGAAUGAUGACCAUUUAGUACAUCUAAAUGGGUUCCAAAAUUUACAAAUUCUCACUCUGGGUGGAUGCGAACUCAAAGGUGAAGUGCCUUCUUGGAUUGAAAGAUUAAAGAAACUCAAAGUGCUGAAUCUGUCUUACAAUAAAAUUACAGGCACAAUCCCAAAAUGGUUGGGGAGUAUGCCAAGCCUGUUUGUACUAAACAUCACUCGAAAUCACCUCACCGGAGAACUUCCUCGUGAAAUUGGCAACCUUAAAGCUUUAGUUUCAGAUGACACAGACCCAAACUUGAGUAACUUAGCACUGCCUUUCUUAUUCGACAGUCUCCAGUACAAUCGACUAUUCAACUUGCCGAGGGAAUCAAAGUUGGGAAUAACAGUCUGAGUGGGAAUAUUCCAGCAGAAUUAGGAAACUUGAGACUUCUUAGAGAAUUGGAUCUCAACGAUAACGACUUCAAUGGCAGCAUUCCAAGUGAAUUGUCCCGUCUUGUCAAUUUAGAGAAAUUGGACACGUCAGGGAACCAUCUCACCGGAGAGAUCCCGGAAUCGAUAAAAAAAACUCUAUUUCUUAUCUUUUUUAACUGUGGCAAACAAUGAUUUAGAAGGAGAGAUUCCGAAGGGUGGUCAGUUUGAUACAUUCACAAACGCUUCAUUUGAAGGGAAUCCUAAACUUUGUGGGUCAUUACUGCAAAAAAGUUACCCACAACCAAGCGCCGGAGGUCAAGAUGAAACAUUAUUGUGGAAAAGUCUAUCGUAACGUUGAAAUAUAACAUUAUUGUGGAAAAUUUGUACUUUUCGUCUUUGAUAUUUGUAAUUUGUUCUUAAUGAUAUUUUUUUAGCAUUGGACAUUCUCAA
rnacentral:lncRNA from 1 species